rnacentral:rRNA from 1 species
GAAACAGUUGCUAAGGCUGGAUAGGAAAUAAAAAGGCAUCUUUUUAUUUUUAAAAGACCUUUUUCGGAAGGUAUGCUUAAAGAGGGGCUUGCGUCACAUUAGUUAGUUGGUAGGGUAAAGGCCUACCAAGACGAUGAUGUGUAGCUGGACUGAGAGGUUGAACAGCCACAUUGGGACUGAGACACGGCCCAAACUCCUACGGGAGGCAGCAGUAGGGAAUUUUCGGCAAUGGAGGAAACUCUGACCGAGCAACGCCGCGUGAACGACGAAGUACUUCGGUAUGUAAAGUUCUUUUAUUGAAGAAGAAACAAUAGUGGAAAAACUAUCUUGACGUUAUUCAAUGAAUAAGCCCCGGCUAACUAUGUGCCAGCAGCCGCGGUAAUACAUAGGGGGCGAGCGUUAUCCGGAAUUAUUGGGCGUAAAGGGUGCGUAGGCGGUUUAAUAAGUCUCUAGUUUAAUUUCAACGCUUAACGUUGUCCUGCUAGAGAAACUGUUUAACUAGAGUGAGAUAGAGGUAAGCGGAAUUCCAUGUGUAGCGGUAAAAUGUGUAAAUAUAUGGAGGAACACCAGAGGCGUAGGCGGCUUACUGGGUCUUUACUGACGCUGAUGCACGAAAGCGUGGGGAGCAAACAGGAUUAGAUACCCUGGUAGUCCACGCCGUAAACUAUGAGUACUAAGUGUCGGGGUUAAACUCGGUACUGAAGUUAACACAUUAAGUACUCCGCCUGAGUAGUACGUACGCAAGUAUGAAACUUAAAGGAAUUGACGGGAUCCCGCACAAGCGGUGGAUCAUGUUGUUUAAUUCGAAGAUACACGAAAAACCUUACCAGGUCUUGACAUACUCUGCAAAGCUAUAGAAAUAUAGUGGAGGUUAUCAGGGAUACAGGUGGUGCAUGGUUGUCGUCAGCUCGUGUCGUGAGAUGUUAGGUUAAGUUCUAAAACGAGCGCAACCCCUGUCGUUAAUUGCCAGCACGUUAUGGUGGGGACUUUAGCGAGACUGCCAAUGAAAAAUUGGAGGAAGGUGGGGAUUACGUCAAAUCAUCAUGCCCCUUAUGAUCUGGGCUACAAACGUGAUACAAUGGCUAUUACAAAGAGUAGCUGAAACGCGAGUUUUCGGCAAAUCUCAAAAAAAUAGUCUCAGUUCGGAUUGAAGUCUGCAACUCGACUUCAUGAAGUUGGAAUCGCUAGUAAUCGCGAAUCAGCAUGUCGCGGUGAAUACGUUCUCGGGGUUUGUACACACCGCCCGUCA